rnacentral:rRNA from 1 species
AUUGAACGCUGGCGGCAUGCUUUACACAUGCAAGUCGAACGGCAGCACGAGGGGUUUACUCCUUGGUGGCGAGUGGCGAACGGGUGAGUAACGCAUCGGAACGUGCCCAGUAGUGGGGGAUAACUGAUCGAAAGAUUAGCUAAUACCGCAUGAGACCUAUGGGGGAAAGCAGGGGAUCUUAGGACCUUGCGCUAUUGGAGCGGCCGAUGUCAGAUUAGGUAGUUGGUAGGGUAAAGGCCUACCAAGCCGACGAUCUGUAGCUGGUCUGAGAGGAUGAUCAGCCACACUGGGACUGAGACACGGCCCAGACUCCUACGGGAGGCAGCAGUGGGGAAUUUUGGACAAUGGGGGCAACCCUGAUCCAGCCAUGCCGCGUGCAGGAAGAAGGCCUUCGGUUGUUAAC